ACUAAGCGUACACGGUGGAUGCCCUGGCAGUCAGAGGCGAUGAAGGACGUGCUAAUCUGCGAUAAGCGUCGGUAAGGUGAUAUGAACCGUUAUAACCGGCGAUUUCCGAAUGGGGAAACCCAGUGUGUUUCGACACACUAUCAUUAACUGAAUCCAUAGGUUAAUGAGGCGAACCGGGGGAACUGAAACAUCUAAGUACCCCGAGGAAAAGAAAUCAACCGAGAUUCCCCCAGUAGCGGCGAGCGAACGGGGAGCAGCCCAGAGCCUGAAUCAGUAUGUGUGUUAGUGGAAGCGUCUGGAAAGGCGCGCGAUACAGGGUGACAGCCCCGUACACAAAAAUGCACAUGCUGUGAGCUCGAUGAGUAGGGCGGGACACGUGGUAUCCUGUCUGAAUAUGGGGGGACCAUCCUCCAAGGCUAAAUACUCCUGACUGACCGAUAGUGAACCAGUACCGUGAGGGAAAGGCGAAAAGAACCCCGGCGAGGGGAGUGAAAAAGAACCUGAAACCGUGUACGUACAAGCAGUGGGAGCACGCUUAGGCGUGUGACUGCGUACCUUUUGUAUAAUGGGUCAGCGACUUAUAUUCUGUAGCAAGGUUAACCGAAUAGGGGAGCCGAAGGGAAACCGAGUCUUAACUGGGCGUUAAGUUGCAGGGUAUAGACCCGAAACCCGGUGAUCUAGCCAUGGGCAGGUUGAAGGUUGGGUAACACUAACUGGAGGACCGAACCGACUAAUGUUGAAAAAUUAGCGGAUGACUUGUGGCUGGGGGUGAAAGGCCAAUCAAACCGGGAGAUAGCUGGUUCUCCCCGAAAGCUAUUUAGGUAGCGCCUCGUGAAUUCAUCUCCGGGGGUAGAGCACUGUUUCGGCAAGGGGGUCAUCCCGACUUACCAACCCGAUGCAAACUGCGAAUACCGGAGAAUGUUAUCACGGGAGACACACGGCGGGUGCUAACGUCCGUCGUGAAGAGGGAAACAACCCAGACCGCCAGCUAAGGUCCCAAAGUCAUGGUUAAGUGGGAAACGAUGUGGGAAGGCCCAGACAGCCAGGAUGUUGGCUUAGAAGCAGCCAUCAUUUAAAGAAAGCGUAAUAGCUCACUGGUCGAGUCGGCCUGCGCGGAAGAUGUAACGGGGCUAAACCAUGCACCGAAGCUGCGGCAGCGACGCUUAUGCGUUGUUGGGUAGGGGAGCGUUCUGUAAGCCUGUGAAGGUGUACUGUGAGGUAUGCUGGAGGUAUCAGAAGUGCGAAUGCUGACAUAAGUAACGAUAAAGCGGGUGAAAAGCCCGCUCGCCGGAAGACCAAGGGUUCCUGUCCAACGUUAAUCGGGGCAGGGUGAGUCGACCCCUAAGGCGAGGCCGAAAGGCGUAGUCGAUGGGAAACAGGUUAAUAUUCCUGUACUUGGUGUUACUGCGAAGGGGGGACGGAGAAGGCUAUGUUGGCCGGGCGACGGUUGUCCCGGUUUAAGCGUGUAGGCUGGUUUUCCAGGCAAAUCCGGAAAAUCAAGGCUGAGGCGUGAUGACGAGGCACUACGGUGCUGAAGCAACAAAUGCCCUGCUUCCAGGAAAAGCCUCUAAGCAUCAGGUAACAUCAAAUCGUACCCCAAACCGACACAGGUGGUCAGGUAGAGAAUACCAAGGCGCUUGAGAGAACUCGGGUGAAGGAACUAGGCAAAAUGGUGCCGUAACUUCGGGAGAAGGCACGCUGAUAUGUAGGUGAAGCGACUUGCUCGUGGAGCUGAAAUCAGUCGAAGAUACCAGCUGGCUGCAACUGUUUAUUAAAAACACAGCACUGUGCAAACACGAAAGUGGACGUAUACGGUGUGACGCCUGCCCGGUGCCGGAAGGUUAAUUGAUGGGGUCAGCGCAAGCGAAGCUCUUGAUCGAAGCCCCGGUAAACGGCGGCCGUAACUAUAACGGUCCUAAGGUAGCGAAAUUCCUUGUCGGGUAAGUUCCGACCUGCACGAAUGGCGUAAUGAUGGCCAGGCUGUCUCCACCCGAGACUCAGUGAAAUUGAACUCGCUGUGAAGAUGCAGUGUACCCGCGGCAAGACGGAAAGACCCCGUGAACCUUUACUAUAGCUUGACACUGAACAUUGAGCCUUGAUGUGUAGGAUAGGUGGGAGGCUUUGAAGUGUGGACGCCAGUCUGCAUGGAGCCGACCUUGAAAUACCACCCUUUAAUGUUUGAUGUUCUAACGUGGACCCGUAAUCCGGGUUGCGGACAGUGUCUGGUGGGUAGUUUGACUGGGGCGGUCUCCUCCUAAAGAGUAACGGAGGAGCACGAAGGUUGGCUAAUCCUGGUCGGACAUCAGGAGGUUAGUGCAAUGGCAUAAGCCAGCUUGACUGCGAGCGUGACGGCGCGAGCAGGUGCGAAAGCAGGUCAUAGUGAUCCGGUGGUUCUGAAUGGAAGGGCCAUCGCUCAACGGAUAAAAGGUACUCCGGGGAUAACAGGCUGAUACCGCCCAAGAGUUCAUAUCGACGGCGGUGUUUGGCACCUCGAUGUCGGCUCAUCACAUCCUGGGGCUGAAGUAGGUCCCAAGGGUAUGGCUGUUCGCCAUUUAAAGUGGUACGCGAGCUGGGUUUAGAACGUCGUGAGACAGUUCGGUCCCUAUCUGCCGUGGGCGCUGGAGAACUGAGGGGGGCUGCUCCUAGUACGAGAGGACCGGAGUGGACGCAUCACUGGUGUUCGGGUUGUCAUGCCAAUGGCACUGCCCGGUAGCUAAAUGCGGAAGAGAUAAGUGCUGAAAGCAUCUAAGCACGAAACUUGCCCCGAGAUGAGUUCUCCCUGACUCCUUGAGAGUCCUGAAGGAACGUUGAAGACGACGACGUUGAUAGGCCGGGUGUGUAAGCGCAGCGAUGCGUUGAGCUAACCGGUACUAAUGAACCGUGAGGCUUAACC
rnacentral:rRNA from 1 species